rnacentral:misc_RNA from 1 species
GAUGAAGAACGUAGCGAAAUGCGAUAAGUAAUGUGAAUUGCAGAAUUUAGUGAAUCAUCGAAUCUUUGAACGCACAUUGCGCCCCUUGGUAUUCCGAGGGGCAUGCCUGUUCGAGCGUCAUUACAACCCUCAAGCUCAGCUUGGUAUUGGGGCCUGCCAGCCUGGCAGCCCUUAAAGUCAGUGGCGGUGCCAUCGGGCUCUCAGCGUAGUAAUUCUUCUCGCUCUGGAGGUCCGGUCGUGUGCUUGCCAGCAACCCCCAAUUUUUUUCAGGUUGACCUCGGAUCAGGUAGGGAUACCCGCUGAACUUAAGCAUAUCAAUAAGCGGAGGA